AGAACGAACGCUGGCGGCAUGCCUAACACAUGCAAGUCGAACGCUUUUGGGGCUUCGGUCCCAAAGGAGUGGCGCACGGGUGAGUAGCGCGUGGGAACCUGCCCUGUUGUGGGGGAUAACCGAGGGAAACUUCGGCUAAUACCGCAUACGCCCGGGGAAACUCCGGGGAAAGAUUUAUCGCAGCAGGAGGGGCCCGCGUCGGAUUAGGUAGUUGGUGGGGUAACGGCCCACCAAGCCUGUGAUCCGUAGCUGGUCUGAGAGGAUGAUCAGCCACACUGGGACUGAGACACGGCCCAGACUCCUACGGGAGGCAGCAGUGGGGAAUAUUGGACAAUGGGCGCAAGCCUGAUCCAGCAAUGCCGCGUGAGUGAUGAAGGCCUUCGGGUUGUAAAGCUCUUUCGCACACGACGAUGAUGACGGUAGCGUGAGAAGAAGCCCCGGCUAACUUCGUGCCAGCAGCCGC
rnacentral:rRNA from 1 species